rnacentral:rRNA from 1 species
AAUCUUCCGCAAUGGACGAAAGUCUGACGGAGCGAUGCCGCGUGAGUGAUGAAGGUCUUCGGAUCGUAAAACACUGUUGUUAGGGAAGAACAAGCAUCGGAGUAAUAGGCCGGUACCUUGCCGGUACCUAACCAGAAAUCCUCCGCUAACUACGCGCCAGCAGCCGCGGUAGUACGUAGGGUGCAAGCGUUGCCCGGAAUUAUUGGGCGUAAAGGGCACGCAGGCGGUUAUUUAAGUCUGAUGUGAAAUCUUGUGGCUUAACCACAAGCGGUCAUUGGAAACUGGAUAACUUGAGUACAGAAGAGGAGAGUGGAAUUCCACGUGUAGCGGUGAAAUGCGUAGAGAUGUGGAGGAACACCAGUGGCGAAGGCGGCUCUCUGGUCUGUAACUGACGCUGAGGUGCGAAAGCGUGGGUAGCGAACA